rnacentral:rRNA from 1 species
GACAGAGGGUGCAAGCGUUGUUCGGAAUCAUUGGGCGUAAAGCGCACGUAGGCGGUCUUGUAAGUCGGAUGUGAAAGCCCUGGGCUCAACCCAGGAAGUGCAUCCGAUACUGCAAGACUUGAGUCCCGGAGAGGGUGGUGGAAUUCCUGGUGUAGAGGUGAAAUUCGUAGAUAUCAGGAGGAACACCGGUGGCGAAGGCGACCACCUGGACGGAGACUGACGCUGAGGUGCGAAAGCGUGGGGAGCAAACAGG